UACGUAGGUGACAAGCGUUGUCCGGAUUUACUGGGCGUAAAGGGCGCGUAGGCGGCCUGCUAAGUCGAACGUGAAAUCCCCGGGCUCAACCCGGGAACUGCGUCCGAUACUGGCAGGCUUGAAUCCGGGAGAGGGAUGUGGAAUUCCAGGUGUAGCGGUGAAAUGCGUAGAUAUCUGGAGGAACACCGGUGGCGAAGGCGGCAUCCUGGACCGGUAUUGACGCUGAUGCGCGAAAGCCAGGGGAGCAAACGGG
rnacentral:rRNA from 1 species